UACGUAGGGUGCAAGCGUUGUCCGGAAUUAUUGGGCGUAAAGAGCUCGUAGGCGGUCUGUCACGUCGGCUGUGAAAACCCGAGGCUCAACCUCGGGCCUGCAGUCGAUACGGGCAAACUAGAGUACUGCAGGGGAGACUGGAAUUCCUGGUGUAGCGGUGAAAUGCGCAGAUAUCAGGAGGAACACCGGUGGCGAAGGCGGGUCUCUGGGCAGUAACUGACGCUGGAGGAGCGAAAGCCGUGGGGAGCAAACAGG
rnacentral:rRNA from 1 species